UCUUGUAUUUCUUUCAAAAGAGUUAAUUUCGUAAUGUUGUUUGGUACUUUAAGUUAUUUGUAUAAGGAAUGUAAACCCUAAACAUUUAUUACGCUUAUGCACUUUAAUUAUCUUUUAUUUUCUUUGGAUAUUUUUGGGGUUGUUACAUAUCAUGAUUCAACUUAACCAUAGAAUAAGAGCCCAUUGGGUUUCCUGAUAUAUUCAAGGUCUUGACUUCUGCUGCUCCUCCAAUGGUAUUGCUUGCAUUGGUUUUAUCUCAAUCAAUAGCAGAGAUUUCACUAUUGCUGCUAGAUAUGACUUGGCUCU
rnacentral:lncRNA from 1 species